rnacentral:hammerhead_ribozyme from 1 species
AUCCAGCUGAAGAGUCCCAAAUAGGACGAAACGUGCGUCCUGAAU